GUUUGAGUAGCUCAGUGGUUAGAGCGCUGUCACGGUACGCCAGAGACCCCGAGUUCGAGUCCCGGUUGAGACU
rnacentral:tRNA from 1 species